AUGCUGCUAUUCAUGUGAUGUCUUGCUGCAGAAUAUCAACUCUUUUUGAAUUUUGUAUUCCCAUCGAACUAAAACUAAAUUUUGGGCUCUAAAGCGUAAAGAUGUAAUACCAUUUUAUUUGCAUGUAUUAAAUUACAUUAUUCUGUAGUCAAUAUUCUAUACUUUAUUUAUGCUUACUUGCUUAUCGAUCCAUUUCAGAUGGGAGGAAGAUCAAACAUUAUGGACGAGCUGUGUUGCUGUUUCCAUUCCCCAGAGAGACCUGCUGGUUCUAUGAGUCCAGCUUAGAAUAUAAGUUUGUUCCAUUACCUUGGGCAGGUCGUGAUUUUUCUGGUGGUAGUCAAUUGUGCUGGUGAUCCUUUCAAGAAAAUGGAUUGAAAACAUAUUGCCGUUUAGAGGAGUCAGAUUUUGAAAGAUGGGUGGAAGAACAGUCGUUAGAAACGAGCUGCUUUGCUGUUUCAUUUUCUCAGAGAGACCUGCUGCAGGUUCUUUGAUCGCAAAAACACUUGCCCUUUUCAUUGCAUCUCCGUAGGGAGAAAAUGAGAUGGAUGGGUGAGUUUCGGGGCCCAUGCAAAUAAUCAUGGUUCUGAAUAUGAAUUGGAAGCCAGUAAAA